rnacentral:tRNA from 1 species
GAGGGUAUGGCUCAGUGGUAGAAUGUGUGCUUAGCAUGCAUGAGGUACUGGGUUCAAUUUCCAGUACCGCCA